CAAGGAAAGUGAUUAUUGAUGCUGACGGAAAAAUGAAAAGACAGCAAGUGUUGGGCAGUGGGAAAGGAAUCCACAUUAAUGACCAUUACUCAAAUUUAAAACAAAAGCAACUCAUAAUUUCGGGAAUAAACGCAAAUCAAAGCUUCCACCUUCAUCUUAAAACCUUCUCUCUCCCUCUUUCCCAAAUCGUCAAUCUCUAUCCUUCUUUCCUUUUCCUCUGUUCUUAACAUCUCUUCACACAUACUAGAAAAACAGGUUUUGAAACUUGUUGUGUCAAAAAGAAAAAGAAAACUCCCCACCCCGAAUCGAAAAAAAAAAUUCAAACAAAACAAUAUCACAUAAUCAAUCAGGGAUCUACCUUGCACAAACUCUUAACCGCAUUCAACAGAGAAAAGGAAACCAAAUUGAAACAUCAAAAUCCAAACCACAACAAAGCUUAACAGAAAGGAAACGCAGAUUUAAUCAAGCAUGUUUAUGCAGUUAGUGGAUUACGACAGAAAUCAUAUGAACACGAGAUGAGGAACGGAAACAGCUAAACUUAAAUGAAACGACAUUUCGGGUGGGCUUAAGACACGGAAUCUAACCUUGGGCGAGUGGUCCUCCUCAGGUACACCCACUGAGCUGUCAAUUUACUAGAUGCGAGCAAAACGGUUAGAGAGAAUUUUCUCCUCAGAUUUGUGGGGACCAAUUGGCUGAGUGUCCAAUCCAAAGAACAAAUGUUGAUGGAUUUGUCUGUAGUGAGAUUUCCACCUUUCUCGAAUUCGAGUGGUCCCCUUCUUGCUAUGACAUCAUCAACCGAAUUUAUACUUUAUUGGUUUUGGCGAACGGAUAUGAAAGGAUAAUUUUGGCCAGUUUGGUUGCUAUUGAUGCAUCGCAGGGUAUUGUCAAAAUUUCACAUAUUCAUGCAGAUUGGUCAAACCUUUAUGUUGUAGAGUGGGUUUCGUGGUUACGGUAUCAUUGCUCUUGUCGUGUUUCAUUUAUCGGUUUACUUCUUAAGGCACUGUGGUAUGAUCUUCCUAUCUUGUCACUUUAAUCUCUGCUCAUCCUCCUUUAACACACCUGUAAAUGUUAUGCUAAAUGCAAUUGUAUGGGCCUACCUAUGUAUUGAUCUGAUUAUCUUUAUUACAGGCAGGAUUUGGCUCAUCGUCGUAUUCCAUGGCAUACACUUGCAAUCAGACUUGCCCCGUGCGGUAAUGUGUGCGCUUUGCUGUUCGAAGAAGUUAAUCAAAUUUCUUAAUCUUCUGUAAUCCAUUGAAUCAGUCUUGGGGCCUCAUUUUCCUGACAAGCAUCAAGAGCUCGUUCUAACAUGCGGGAAGUAAGCUUUAUUUGUCAAUGUUUUUUCAUAAAAUUAUCGAGCUCAUCCGUGCAUUCAUGCUGACAGUGGAUUGAAAUCGUGCAGUCAGUAUUUGGCCUUAUAUUAAUGAUUAUGGGAUACGUGAUCCCCCAUUUCUAUUACUUGAUGUAUAUUUCAACUGAGUAUUAAUCAGAGUCUGCAACAUUGAGUCCGUGCCGUAAACCAUGUUUGUAUUAUGCUCAUAGGUUCUGUGGUUUGGUUGAUCCCCGCGUCUUACUGAAAAGUGUUUAAACGUUGGUUCGUGUUUUGCAGUGUGGUGGACAUUAAGUAAGCAGGAUGCCCUUCUUGUCACCAUAUUAUGGAGAUCCAGCAACGGCAUUUGUAACAAGUAUAAAUCCCAGAUGGAUGGGCAGAUAUAAAGGCAACAUAUGAAAACACAUCUACAACUAAAACUGAAUGAUAUCAAGAGCUCCUUCAGGCUAGCAUUCCGUUGCAGGUUAACAUGAAUCGCUUGUUCAUUACUUUCACCAUCCUCUGCAACUCCUGCUACAAAUAUGUUGGUGUAAGCCCUAGAGGCCAAUACUUUUGGUACUUGUAUCGAAUUAUUUAUUAAUAAUAAAAGGCUUUUUCUUUA